GUUUCUACAAAGGGGUGGACCUAGCUCUCAUUUAGGUGUCUCCUUUUUUUGGAUGAAGGUAUGGAGUAUUUCCAUUCCCUCAAAGCUGUCCAUCUUCCUAUGGAGUCUCCUUAAAGAAAGUCUACCUACUAAUUCUCUAAUCAGGAAAGACUACUCUAGUGUCUCCAGAUUGCCCUUUUUGUGGUCCCAGAGAGACAGCAAAGCAUCUUUUCCUAGAGUGCCCUAGAGUGAUAGAAAUCUGGAUAAAUUCUCCUUUUAGUAUUAGAUCCUCUCUUGCAUAAGGAAUUACCAUGAUGGAUUGCUGCGCAGAGCUUACAACUCCAAGUGCGAAUCUUGGUCAAGGGAAAGAAUUCAUUCCUAAACUGGUUUUUCUGCUUUGGCACAUAUGGAAAAGUAGGAAUGCCCAUCUUUUCAGAAAUCAAAGCUCUACCUUCCAGGGGAGUACACCUUGGCUCAGCCACAAGAGAGAGAACCCUUUGAAGCUGAGAAUUCCAGUGCUCCAGUUUGGGAACCUCCACCUCCAGGCGUGGUUAAAAUUAACUUUGAUGGGGCAACUUCUUCUCGAUUGAAUGCUGGUGAGCUAGCAGUUGUGGCCAGAACACAGUCGGGUGAAGUUUGUGGACGGAAAUGUAGGCGUCUUUCCAGUAAUAACAGAGUUAAAUUUAGAGAAAGUGUUAGUCAAAUUAUAAUUUAAUUCAUU
rnacentral:misc_RNA from 1 species